rnacentral:misc_RNA from 1 species
GUAAAAACUAGAACGAGAUCCACCAUGCAAUGCAAGGUGAUGAAGCCUUGCUCUCUCGCCGUUGCCUUAAUUGUAAUUCUUUUACAUAACGGUGCCGAAGGGGGAGAGCAUGCAGAACUUCGAAUAGACUUUGACUCAAACUAUUAUCAGUAUCAGGACAUCGAAAAGGCAAUCCUAUCCGCACUACGGAACCUUCUUCAAGGAUGAUGGUGAAAAGUACUAUCCAGUACAGACCAAGCGCCCCAAACCGAACACUAUGACAGCAGUGAAGAGCCAAGAUAACCCAGAUAUAAGAGAUUACAGGCUGGUGUACGGGGAUGACGAUUGCUCUAUCUUUCGGAGGCCCGGUCAACUGAAUGGAUUCGGAUGCAUGGUUCUCCUCGCUGAUCGCAGCGUAACAACAGGAAAGAGUAGAACAUGUCAAAGUAUAUACAAAAAUGCCUGCGGAGCUACACCUGCAUUCCAUCAAGUAUUCAAAGAUUCGUGCAAAAAUUCUGUGAAAAAGCAGUAAAUCAAUAAAGA